AGUAUUUGCGUUUGGUGCUCCGGUGACUGGCGACCACACUUUUAAUCAGGCGAGAAUUUGGAUGACAAGAGCUGCAAGAGUUCGAUCUUCAGUUUGGAGAGUUAGCAGUAAACGCCCAGGGGGUGAUGUUGAGAAGUGGAUUGAUGUGAUUCGGAUCGGGUUAGAGGGUAUAACGGUUAAUGAUGC